AAUUUCAUUUUACAACCUUGGAUAGCAUUUAUAUGGGGGUUUAUAGUAUUUUGAUUCAAAGUGAAUAGGUUUUGAUGUGGGUUAGCACAUUGCAAAGGAGCAGGAAGUAGUAGUUAUUUAAUAGCUUUCCGAACUGAUUAAUUUUCUAUCUUCUUUCCAGUUAGAGUACAGAUUCUUUCAAAAAUGCAGAAGUUCAGGUCUAGCUGCUUGUUUUAAGUAGACAGAUGAGCAAACUCAGCUCAUUUUAAGAAUCAGAAAUCUUUUGCAGUCUAAUCCUGAAUUGUACAAGCAUCUUCUUUAUUUUUAAAUCUUUACUAAAUAAUUUGAUGAACAGUUACUAGUUUGCACACUUUUUGAUACAGAUGAACAUUCAUUUUCUACAGUGUCUCUGUAGAAGAAUUAAGUCUUCUAGAAUUUUUCCAUUCUCUGGUUGUAUGAAAGGUUUUUUAAACAAAGGAGUAAUGAAGGGAAAGUAACAAAUUACAAAUUUAGCAACAGGUCUAGAGGGAAUGGCCUCAUGUUGUGCCAGGGGAGGGUCAGGUUGGAUAUUAGGAACAAUUUCUGCCCUGAAAGAGUGGUCAGGCACUGCAACAGACUGCCCCGGGAGGUGGCUGAGUCACUGUCCCUGGAGGUUUUCAAGAAAGAUAUAGAUGUGGUACUAAGGGUGUGGUGUAGUGGGGAAAUAAUGGUGGUAGGUGGAUGGUUGGACUAGGUAUCUUGAAGGUCUUUUCCAACCUUGGUGAUUCUAUGAUUCUAAAUAAUAAACUCUUAUUUGUGCAGUCUUGAUCUGGAUCUUGUGAAGCUGGUAAAAGUGUGAAGAUAAUUGUACCGGUUACUGCAGAUCAAACUGAAUGUUAUUGAAAGGCAGAACUCAAAACUGCAAUGUCUAGAGAGGGCUGCUAAUUGACAGUUCAGGGACAAUGUCAGGUAUCCAUAAGAACAAUGUGAUCCCAUCUUGUUUUGCAGUCAUCCCUUCCACCAGCAACUAUAGCAAAGAGUGCCAUCAGCAGCUGGAAAUCAUUCUUUGCUGACACAGGGAAGUGUCUGAUUCUAAGACAUUCAUUCUUAAUUUUGUUUAAGGAGAACUCAAGUCCUAACUUGAACUUUUUGCUUUCUCUGUCAAAGCCUCAGAUUUUAAAUCCAACUCAGCAGAGAUGCCUCAGCUGACAAGAAAAGCAGUCUUUAAUAUUAAUAAAACCAUGAGAAGGACAAGGAAGACAGAAAGGAUGUCAGCUCUGGAGUACAGAGUGAAAACCACCUUUAUGUGUGUAUCUUCAGCAUGUGUCAAAUGGCAGUUACUAUCACACAUCACAGCACAUUCUUCCUUGUUAUCGUACGUUAUUUAUAGUUUUUUCACCAACCUUGAAAUUGCAUACACAAACUCAUAUUAAACACAGUGUUGAGCCCAUGGCUCAAAGUCAAUGACAUCUCUAGGAGGAGGGCUGACAUAACAGUUUGAACAGAAAAGUAGGUAGACUUUUCUGGAAGAGCAAUAAAUGCACACCCUUAUACACACCCUUACAGCACUUCUUCUCCUGGAUAUCUAUGGAACAGAUUGCGUCUCCAUAGCUGUGAUCUUUUUUUGGUUCAGAUUUACAAUUUGUUAGAUAUCUCAGUGCAGAUGAAAUAAUUUGUUAAACAUUUCUAGGCAUUUCCCAUGCAAUCUUUGAAAAGAUUGGACUUUGCUUGAUAGAACAUCCCC
ensembl:lncRNA